AACGAACGCUGGCGGCAGGCUUAACACAUGCAAGUCGAGCGCCCCGCAAGGGGAGCGGCAGACGGGUGAGUAACGCGUGGGAACCUACCUAGAGGUGCGGAAUAACUCAGGGAAACUUGAGCUAAUACCGCAUGAGCCCGAGAGGGGAAAGAUUUAUCGCCUUUAGAUGGGCCCGCGUCAGAUUAGCUAGUUGGUGAGGUAACGGCUCACCAAGGCGACGAUCUGUAGCUGGUCUGAGAGGAUGAUCAGCCACAUUGGGACUGAGACACGGCCCAAACUCCUACGGGAGGAAGCAGUGGGGAAUAUUGGACAAUGGGCGCAAGCCUGAUCCAGCCAUGCCGCGUGAGUGAUGACGGCCUUAGGGUUGUAAAGCUCUUUCGACGGGGACGAUAAUGACGGUACCCGUAGAAGAAGCCCCGGCUAACUUCGUGCCAGCCGCCGCGGUAA
rnacentral:rRNA from 1 species